GAUGAACGCUGGCGGCGUGCCUAAUACAUGCAAGUCGAGCGAACAGAUGAGGAGCUUGCUCCUCUGACGUUAGCGGCGGACGGGUGAGUAACACGUGGAUAACCUACCUAUAAGACUGGGAUAACUUCGGGAAACCGGAGCUAAUACCGGAUAAUAUAUUGAACCGCAUGGUUCAAUAGUGAAAGACGGUUUUGCUGUCACUUAUAGAUGGAUCCGCGCCGCAUUAGCUAGUUGGUAAGGUAACGGCUUACCAAGGCAACGAUGCGUAGCCGACCUGAGAGGGUGAUCGGCCACACUGGAACUGAGACACGGUCCAGACUCCUACGGGAGGCAGCAGUAGGGAAUCUUCCGCAAUGGGCGAAAGCCUGACGGAGCAACGCCGCGUGAGUGAUGAAGGUCUUCGGAUCGUAAAACUCUGUUAUUAGGAAGAACAAAUGUGUAAGUAACUAUGCACGUCUUGACGGUACCUAAUCAGAAAGCCACGGCUAACUACGUG
rnacentral:rRNA from 1 species